rnacentral:misc_RNA from 1 species
AAACAAGAGUACAACAGUUGCCACCAUGGUUUUCCUGCCAGCUGCGACACCCCAUCUCAUCGAGGAUACAACAAUUGGCAAUGCGAAGGAAACAGCCGAAGUAAUUCUCAAUAGCAAGAGAAUUGCUCAAUAGAUAAGCCAAUCCUGAAACAGCAGCAAACAUAGCACCUUCUACUAGUCUCAAAGUCCUCUUAUAAACAACCCCAUCUGGAGCUAAGUACUCAUACUCCUCUGAAUUUUCCUCUUCUUUAUCACUCCAAAUUUGGGUUUUUACAGUUGAACCUUUCACAUUUCUUGGCUUAAAACUGUCAAGAGAACAAUUAAGAACUAAAGGCAGAAUUUUUGGUUUGUGGGUAGGCAAAAAAAUGAAAUGGGGUGCUAAAAAAGAUGAAUGGGGUGAUAAAUUCCCAGAAAUUGAAGAGAAUUUGCUAUUGUAGUGAAGUUUGAGGAACACCUCCUCCAUAUUCAUCAGUCUCUUCUG